GGAGGAAAAGAAACUAACAAGGAUUCCCCUAGUAGCGGCGAGCGAAGCGGGAAGAGCUCAAAUUUAUAAUCUGGCACCUUCGGUGUCCGAGUUGUAAUCUCUAGAAGUGUUUUCCGCGUUGGACCGCACACAAGUCUGUUGGAAUACAGCGGCAUAGUGGUGAAACCCCCGUAUAUGGUGCGGACGCCCAGCGCUUUGUGAUACACUUUCAAUGAGUCGAGUUGUUUGGGAAUGCAGCUCAAAUUGGGUGGUAAAUUCCAUCUAAAGCUAAAUAUUGGCGAGAGACCGAUAGCGAACAAGUACCGUGAGGGAAAGAUGAAAAGCACUUUGGAAAGAGAGUUAACAGUACGUGAAAUUGUUGGAAGGGAAACGCUUGAAGUCAGACUUGCUUGCCGGAGCUUGCUUCGGUUUGCAGGCCAGCAUCAGUUUUCCGGGGUGGAUAAUGACGGUUUGAAGGUAGCAGUCUCGGCUGUGUUAUAGCUUUCCGUUGGAUACAUCCUGGGGGACUGAGGAACGCAGCGUGCUUUUUGCGAAAGACUCGUCUUUUUCACGCUUAGGAUGCUGGUGGAAUGGCUUUAAACGACCCGUCUUG
rnacentral:rRNA from 1 species